UAUUAAAAAUUUUAUCCAUUUCUGCUGUUAAAAACUGGUAUAAUUAACGGAAUAACCAAACAAUUGCACGUGGCAUGCUACAUGUACCUCAUUUUGACGUAUAGGGAUCAGUUUUUAACAGUAGAAUAGAAAGACCAGUUUGCUA
rfam:Gossypium hirsutum cultivar TM-1 chromosome 10, whole genome shotgun sequence